rnacentral:tRNA from 1 species
UGGGAAGUGGCGCAACUGGUAGCGCGGCGGCCUCUGAAGCCGACGGCUGAAGGUUCGAUUCCUUCCUUCCCAG